CCAAGAGAAGAGGAUAGGAGACUCUGCCGUCAGAUGGCGUUGCCUGUUCUUCUCUCCCCAGUUUGCAGAGUUGGAUGUGACCUCAGCACUGGAUAAGGGGUAAGUGAUUCCUCCAUCCUGACCAGAAGGUAAUCUCUACUUGUCUUGUGCUGUGUGGAACAGGUUGCAGUGGAGAAGUGCAGUUGUCCGGGGCGCUGCAAGGACUCUAUUGAGGCAUUUGGUGGACGCCGCAGGAACCCACAGCCAGAGGUGGAUGCCAAGAUGCACAUCUUCCUCUGUCUGGCAAGCUCUGCUGACCCCUGAGGUUUUUCCCACGCUUGCAGAGGUUGUAUGGGCUUGGUGUUGGUUGUUGCUUGUGCUCACCUUGCUGUCACCGGGUGUUCUUCCUUUGCCCAUCAUAGGGCUCCCCCGUUCUGGUGGGAUCUCCGUGCCUUCUGCUGAUCCCAGAGAACAUGGGUUCGUUUUCUUAUAUCCAGGUUCACUAUGUUUUCUUGCUGUUAUGUGAUGUUUGCCUUAGUUUUUUUAUUUUUUAUUUUUUUUCCGGGCUGCUUAUUGAUCCAUCCUGGGUCUGCAAUAAACCAAAUGAUUUCUGGUAAGGUUUGAGCAAGUGAGAUGGAAAAUCAAGUGGUAAACUCCAAAACAGGCUUGCAGUGAGUGUGUCGUAUGACUUGGGGUUUCUAGCUUGACAUCUGUUUUUUUUUUUUUUUUUUUUUUUUUUUUUUUUUUAAAGCCAUUUGGUUCAGUACCUGAUAGGAAAGUUUCUUUCCUUCUAGUAUUGGAGACUUAUCCACCACAUGGUGAUGCCUUCCCUGACCUCCUUGAUUGCAGUGUGGGAUGUGCCCUGAUCCUUGGAAAGGGGUGAGUGAUUCCUUCAUCCUUACUAGAAGGUAAUCUCUACUUACCUUUUCUUGUGUCCAUCAGGUGGCACUGGAGAGUUGUGACCCUGCUGAGCAGUGCAAGGACUCUACUGAGGCUCUUGGUGGACACAGCAAGUACCCACACCCAUAGGUGGAUGCCAAUAUCUAUUCCUUCCUGUCUGGCAAGCUCUGUUGUCCCCUGAGGUCGUUCCCAUGCUUGCAGAGGUCCUAUGGACUUGUUGGUUGUCGCUUGUGCUCACUGGGCUUAUCAAGGGUGUUCCGCUUGCUUGACACCACCUUUCCCAUUCUCUAUUUCCAAGCAGGAGCUCCCUUUGGCCUCCAUGUCUCGCUCUGGCCAGGCAGAUGUGGUGUGCCAACGGAUCAGAGCCUUCAGAAUCCAACCAAAAGAAAUGAGGAGAGAGGCUGCCCUGGGUGAGACAGGAGAAGUGCCCCUUGAAGCGGGGGACGCCCCGCUGGCACUGCCUCUCACAUCCAUCGGCAGCACAUUCCUUUUCUCUCCUUGCCGCCUGGCGCUUUGCCAUCUCCCAGUGCUUGCCAAGUCCAAGUAUUCCCUGAUGGAGUCCAACUCCAGCUCGACCAUCACUCACCCGGUCUGUCCCCACACCAGCUGGCUUAGGGCUCUCCAGUACUGCUGGAUGUCAGUGCCUUCUGUUGCUCCCUGUCAACAUGGUGGUGUUCUUUCUUUUUAGGUUCAGUAAUGUGUCUUCUUGUUAUGCAGUGUUACUCUUCUCUAUUUUCUUGUGUUUCAUGUUGCCUGUCAAUGCCUCUUUGGAGAUACACUGAGUGAAAUGUAAACUGAUGUUCUUUGACCAAGUGUGAUGGAAAAUGAAGAUGUAGGCUCCACUACAGCUAUUGUUCGAAGCGGGAAGGACCAUUUUGACUAUUUGUCAACGCCCACCUGGCAAUCUGAAUUUAGGAGCCGCUUUCAUGGACGUGUCGCUGCAGGGCAAAGAAGGCCUCAAAACUUCAGUGGACCUCUACCCCCAAAAGAGCUCUGAAACUUAUGUUAAGAAAAUAAAUGUCUUAAUAUUUUUCUGUCUUCUAUAGUUUUAACUGUUGCUUUAGCUUGGCUGGAAAACAGGCAUGUAAAACUAAUUGAAAAUCUUGCUGAAGGAAGGUUUUAGUGUUUCAGACUGUUGGGUUUGUAUGACUCUCCCAAGAAGUGUAGGAAGUGUGCCAAUUUACGCAGCAGUUGCACUAAAUUGAACAAUACUGAAUUAUGUAACAAAUCAGAUGGAAAACGGUGGAAAUUGUAAAUGCGUGGAUGAAAAUCAGAGUAAGGUCGUUGAUUUGUUUGUUUGCUUGUUUUUUUUUUUUUUUUUUUUUUUGUUGUUGUUAUUAUUACUAAUACCUGAACCAUUUUUAUAGACAGGAAUGACAACAGUGCAAACCAUAUAAACUUUGGGUGCAGGAACCUGUCAGGUGUAGGGUGUUGUUGGGAAUAUGGCAAUUUUGGGAUGCUUACGAGAUAUAAUGAGACUGCUCGAUGGCAGCAAGGCAGGUACUGUGAUCCUAGGGCCACUAACAAUACAGUGCAGUCUGGAGAUAAAGAUAUAUUAGCUAUAGCGGGCAUGGGGACUGCAUCAAUGUAGCAUAGGCAAAAACACUGUCAGCUCCUCUUUGGGUAUUGGUGGAUGUGUGCGAAAUAAAUACGCAUGUGAAAUUCUCCCAUUGAAUUGGACUGGGACAUGCACAGCAGGUUAUCUGAUGCCUCACACAAGUAUCUACACUUGCAUAGAGCCACCAUGAGGAUUUUUAAGAGCUAUGCAGCUAUAGAUUAAGAGAGGGAAUACUCCACUAGUUGAAAGGACUAUGGGAUUCCAUAGUUUUAUUUGAUGGGUACUUUCAGCUGUCGGAGUCACUGAACUGGAACAAGCAGUUGUGAAUGUAUUAGUCACUAUGGAAAGAAUUGAGAACCUAAGUUUAGAAGCCAUCCAGGGUCUUCAGACAGAGAUCUCACGCUGAGUAAAUCAGUCUUGCAGAAUAGAAUGGCCCUCGACAUUCUUACCGCAAAGGUAUGAGGGGUCUCUAUGAUUAUUAACCGAAGUCACUGCGCUUACAUGGACUGAAAUGUACACGUAGAGAGUGAUUUAUAAGCCAUUUGGAGAGGCGUUUGAGAGCUACACCAAGUCUCCUUACAUGACCCUUCUGCUGGAAUCAUGGAUAUGUGGAAUAAGCUUUGUAACUGGCUGCCUAACUUUGUGUGGCUAAAGUGACCAGUUGUAGUUGUACUGACGAUCCUCAUUGUGAUAACCUGCAUAGGUGCGAGGUGUUCUUUCUGGUGCUAUUGAAAAAUGGUAGAUGAGCGCUCCACCUAGAAGAGGUACCGUGUGAAAUGUCAGGUAGAAACGGGGAAAUAGUUCUGGAACACAUUACUUGACAGUUGGGCACUGAAAGCAAAAGCCUUUGCAUAACCUAUAGAAAAGGGUGGAUUGUAUCAAGGGAAGUAUAAAUCUGGACCUCAUAGUAUGUGCCAAGUUGGGAAGGAACACAGAAAGUGGUGGAACGUGAGGUCUGUGAGUACAAGGAAGAUAAGGGCGGAGAGCUGAUGACACAAUGGAAGGUCCAUUGAAGGUCAGCGGAGUUUCUCUUUGUAACUGAAUAUGCAGUCCCAUGAACAUAAGGAGGCAGAGCUGCCAUUGCUGAGCAUAAGGAAGUGAAGUUGCUGUUGCGACACAAUGCAAGCCUGACCUUCUGAAGUUGGAAGCUCUCAGCGAGGUAUGCUGAUCACCUUCAUCCAACACUGACCAGAGAACCGCGCUGCUUCUUUAGGACCAUGACAGUAGGGUGGGGCAAUGUGUUAAUAAUGUCUUGGAAUUCCACCCAUCUUUCUUGCAAUGUAAUUAAUGUUUGUAUGUUAUGUUUUAAAAUAUGUAACCAUUGCUAUCCUGGCUGUGCGAGUUAGGAGAUUUCUCGUUGCAUCUUACGUUGUAAUAAAAAUGCCUCUUGAGUGA